UUAUUGUUUGCCGGUAUGAAUGGCGUCACGAAGGCCCCACUGUUUUAAGAGGACUCUCCAUGAAAUUGAAUUCGUAGUGAAGAUGCUACGUCCAUAUUGUAAGACGAAAAGACCCCAUUGAGCUUUACUAAAGACUUGCAUGGCUCAAAAUAAUUUGACUUAAAUAAAGAGUUUAGAUAAUGUGGGACCCGUUUCUGGUUAAUGAAACACCACUCUUUUAUUUUAAGAGAGCUAACAUUACAGGGAUAGUGUAAGUUGGAUAGUUUGGUUGGGGCGACCACCUUUUAAAAGGUAACGAAGGUGAGCUUAAGGUCCGUAGUUAAUAGCCGGUGGCCUGACUGCAAGGGGGACGUCUCGAGCAGACACGUCCUUAGGGAUGUGGACUAUAGUGACCCGUCACCUUAGUGUGGAAUAGUUGACGAUC
rnacentral:rRNA from 1 species